AAGAUUGGCUUAGAGAAGAGAAGAACCCUAUUAGUGUUGAAGAAGAUUUGAAGUAUCUUGAGGAACUCGAGCUUGAUAUGGAAAAUAAUGGAAGCACUACUAGCAUUGUUUGAUGUAUAGUUGCAACUUGCAUCUUGAGUGGUUCAAGUGCAAUCAUGCCCCGUGCUCCUAAAGUACACUCUGAUAUUUGGGAACACUUUGAGGUGAAAGAAGAUAACGGAGAAGUUCGCAAAGUAGAGUGCAAGCAUUAUGGUCAAG